GCCGAGACAACUAGGGUCUGAAGCAGAACCCCAGCAAACUGCAGAAGCCCUAUAGUAAAGUGGACUGACUGUUAAAAGAAAACAAACAAACAAACAAAAAUUUACAGGAACAACAUCAACAUAAAAGACCCCCCAUAAACCCGUUAAAGAUCAACAACCUCAAAGGUUGAAGGUAGAUAAACCCACAAAGAUGAUAAAGAAUAAACAUAAAAAUGCUGCAACUCCAAAAGCCAGAGUGUCUCCUUUUCUCCAAAUGACUGCAAUACCUCUCCAGCAAGGGCACAUAAUUGGUCUGAGGCUGAGAUGGCUGAAUUGACAGAAGUAGGCUUCAGAAGGUGGGUAAUAACAAACUUUGCUCAGCUAAAGGGACAUGUUGUAACCCAAUGAAAAGAAGCUAAGAAUCAUAAUAAAACAAUACAGGAGCUGACAGCCAAAAUAGCCAGUUUAAAGAUGAACAUAACUGACUUAAUGGAGCUGAAAAACGCAUGACAGUUUCACGAUGAAAUCACAGGUAUUAAUAGCAGAAUAGACCAACAAGAAGAAGGAAUAUUAGAGCCGGAAGACUAUUUUUUUCUGAAAUAAGAUAGAUAGACAAGAAUAUAGUUUUAAAAAGAAUAAAAAGGAAGGAACAAAACCUCAAAAAAAUGUAUAAUUAUGUAAAGAGACCAAACCUAUGAGUAAUUGAGGUACCUCAAAGAGAUGGAAAGAACAAAACCAAGUUGGAAAACAUACUUUAUGCUGUCAUCCAGGAGAACUUCCCCAACCUAACAAGGCAGGCCGACAUUCAAAUUCUGGAAAUUCAGAGAACUACAGCAACAUAUUAUACAAGAAGACCAACCCUAAGACACAUAAUGAUCAGAUUCUUCAAAAUAAAAAUGAAAGAAAAAGUAUUAAGGGCAGGCAGAGAGAAAGAUCAGGUCACUUACAAAAGGAAAUCCAUCAGACUACUAGCGGGACUUCUUUUUAUUUAUUUAUUUAUUUAUUUAUUUAUUUAUUUAUUUAUUUAUUAUUAUUAUACUGUAAGUUGUAGGGUACAUGUGCAUAACGUGCAGGUUUGUUACAUAUGUAUACUUGUGCCUUGUUGGUGUGCUGCACCCAUCAACUCGUCAUUUACAUCAGGUAUAACUCCCAAUGAUUUACAUCAGGUAUAACUCCCAAUGCAAUCCCUCCCCCGUCUCCCCUCCCCAUGAUAGGCCCCGGUGUGUGAUGUUCCCCUUCCCGAGUCCAAGUGAUCUCAUUGUUCAGUUCCCACCUAUGAGUGAGAACAUGCAGUGUUUGGUUUUCUGUUCUUGCGAUAGUCUGCUGAGAAUGAUGGUUUUCAGCUGCAUCCAUGUCCCUACAAAGGACACAAACUCAUCCUUUUUUAUGGCUGCAUAGUACUCCAUGGUGUAUAUGUGCCACAUUUUCUUAAUCCAGUCUGUCACUGAUGGACAUUUGGGUUGAUUCCAAGUCUUUGCUAUUGUGAAUAGUGCCGCAAUAAACAUACGUGUGCAUGUGUCUUUAUAGCAAUAUGAUUUAUAAUCCUUUGGGUAUAUACCCAGUAAUGGGAUGGCUGGGUCAUAUGGUACUUCUAGUUCUAGAUCCUUGAGGAAUCGCCAUACUGUUUUCCAUAAUGGUUGAACUGGUUUACAAUCCCACCAACAGUGUAAAAGUGUUCCUAUUUCUCCACAUCCUCUCCAGCACCUGUUGUUUCCUGACUUUUUAAUGAUUGCCAUUCUAACUGGUGUGAGAUGGUAUCUCAUUGUGGUUUUGAUUUGCAUUUCUCUGAUGGCCAGUGAUGAUGAGCAUUUUUUCAUGUGUCUGUUGGCUGUAUGAAUGUCUUCUUUUGAGAAACGUCUGUUCAUAUCCUUUGCCCACUUUUUGAUGGGGUUGUUUCUUUUUUUCUUGUAAAUUUGAUUGAGUUCUUUGUAGGUUCUGGAUACUAGUCCUUUGUCAGAUAAGUAGAUUGCAAAAAUUUUCUCCCAUUCUGUAGGUUGCCUGUUCACUCCGAUGGUAGUUUCUUUUGCUGUGCAGAUGCUCUUUAGUUUAAUUAGACCCCAUUUGUCAAUUUUGGCUUUUGUUGCCAUCGCUUUUGGUGUUUUAGUCAUGAAGUCUUUGCCCAUCCUUAUGUCCUGAAUCGUAUUGCCUAGGUUUUCUUCUAGGAUUUUUAUGGUUUCAGGCCUAAUAUUUAAGUCUUUAAUCCAUCUUGAAUUAAUCUUUGUGUAAGGUGUAAGGAAGGGAUCCAGUUUCAGCUUUCUACAUAUGGCUAGCCAGUUUUCCCAACACCAUUUAUUAAAUAGGGAAUCCUUUCCCCAUUUCUUGUUUUAGUCAGUUUUGAUAAAUAUCAGAUGGUUGUAGAUAUGUGGUAUUAUUUCUCAGGAAUCUGUUCUGUUCCAUUGGUCUAUAUCUCUGUUUUGGUACCAGGACCAUGUUGUUUUGGUUCCUGUAGCCUUGUAGUAUAGUUUGAAGUCACGUAGCUCGAUGCCUCCAGCUUUGUUCUUUUGGCUUAGGAUUUUCUUGGCAAUGCUGGCUCUUUUUUGGUUCGAUGUGAACUUUAAAGUAGUUUUUUCCAAUUCUGUGAAGAAAGUAAUCAGUUACUUGAUGGGGAUGGCAUUGAAUC
rnacentral:lncRNA from 1 species